rnacentral:misc_RNA from 1 species
UCCGGUUCCUCACCGGCAGUCUCCUUAGAGUCCCCAACUAAAUGCUGGCAACUAAGGACAAGGGUUGCGCUCGUUACGGGACUUAACCCAACAUCUCACAACACGAGCUGACGACAGCCAUGCAGCACCUGUCUCUGCGUUCCUUUCGGCACUCCCGGAUCUCUCCAGGAUUCGCAGGAUGUCAAGGGUAGGUAAGGUUCUUCGCGUUGCAUCGAAUUAAACCACAUGCUCCACCGCUUGUGCGGGCCCCCGUCAAUUCAUUUGAGUUUCAACCUUGCGGCCGUACUUCCCAGGCGGAAGACUUAUCGCGUUUGCUUCAAGACUGAUAGGUUCCCCUACCAACCUUUAGUCCUCAUCGUUUACAGCGUGGACUAC